rnacentral:rRNA from 1 species
UACGUAGGGUGCAAGCGUUGUCCGGAAUUAUUGGGCGUAAAGAGCUUGUAGGCGGUUUGUCGCGUCUGCUGUGAAAUUUCGGGGCUCAACCCCGGACCUGCAGUGGGUACGGGCAGACUAGAGUGUGGUAGGGGAGACUGGAAUUCCUGGUGUAGCGGUGAAAUGCGCAGAUAUCAGGAGGAACACCGAUGGCGAAGGCAGGUCUCUGGGCCAUAACUGACGCUGAGAAGCGAAAGCAUGGGGAGCGAACAGG